GGAGUUGAUGGUCUAGGAUGAGGGAGCAGGGGAUCCAGGACCGCUCCUCUAGACUGUACCCCUCCCAGUCCACGAGAUAUUGUAAGCCUCGCCCCCGAGGCUGCACGUCCAAGAUUAGCCUUACAGUGAAGGCAGGGUGGUCGUCAAUCAACCAGGGGGGUGGAGGGGCAACGGAAGGAGGGCUCAGGGUGCACGAGGUGACAGGCUUUAUCAGGGAGACAUGAAAUGUGGGGUGAAUUUUGAGGGAAGUAGGAAGUUUUAAUCCUCCCGCAGAAGGGUUGAUGAUUUUCUGGAUAGGAAAGGGACCAAUGAAGCGGGGGAACAGCUUGCGGGACUUGGUCUGCAGGGGAAGGUCACGGAAUGAUAACCAGACCAUCUGACCGGGACGAUAGUCUGGUGCUGGAGAGCAGUGAACAUCAGCCAGGCAUUUUUUGCGCUCAGCCAUGCGGGUGAGUGCGGCCCUGGCGGAUCUCCACACCUCCCGUAGAUGCCCAAUGUGCUCCCUCACUGACGGGAUGGCCACUGGGUGCUCCUGUUCGGGAAACAGGGGGGGCUGGUACCCAAAACAGCACAUGAAGGGAGACAUACCUGUGGCCGAAGAGGUGAGGGAGUUAUGGGCGUAUUGGAUCCACAGGAGUUGCGUACUCCAGGACGCUGGAUGCUGCCACACACUGCAGGGCCGACUUCAGGUUUUGAUUGGUCCACUGUCUGGCCGUUGGUCUGCGGGUGGUAACCCGAGGAGAGGCUAGCUGCCGCGCCCACUGCCUGGCAGAAAGCUUUCCAGACCUGGUAGGAGAACUGGGGACCACGAUCUGACACUAUGUCAAGGGGGAUACCAUGUAGUUGGAACACAUGAGAUACUAGGAGGUUAGCAGUUUCUAAAGCAGACGGGAGCUUGGGUAACGGGACAUAAUGCACAAAUUUGGAAAACCUGUCAAUGAUGGUGAGUAUGACUGUGUUACCUUCAGAAGGGGGGAGACCAGUGACGAAAUCUAGGGCUAUGUGAGACCAGGGGCGUAAGGGCACAGGCAGAGGACGCAGCAAGCCAGCCGGAGGUUGGUGGGAGGUUUUGCCUUGGGCACAGACGGAGCAGACAGCAACAAACGCCCGUAUGUCCCGGACCAUCCCCGGCCACCAGAACCGCUGCUGGAGGAAUUGGAGGGUGCGUUGAAACCCGGGGUGACAGGUGAGUUUGGAGGAGUGCCCCCACUGUAGGACCUGGGAACGUGCAACCUCAGGGAUGAAUUUUCUGUCAGGCGGGCCGGUUCCCGGGUCCGGAUGGUUCCGGAUGGCCUGGUCCACGAUGGUGUCGAUUUCCCAAGAGGUGGAGCUGACGACACAGGAGGCAGGGAGGAUGGUGUCCGGUUUGCUGGGGUCCAAGGUAGCCGAGGAAUGGAUCCGAGAUAGGGCGUCUGGUUUGAGAUUGCGGGAGCCAGGACGAUAAGAGAGGGUGGAGCUGAAUCUACUGAGCAAGAGGGAGCAGCGGGCUUGCCUGGAGUUGAGGCGUCUAGCGGAGCAGAGGUAUUGCAGGUUCUUGUGGUCAGUCCAGAUGAGAAAAGGUUGUUGUGCUCCUUCCAGCCAGUGUCUCCAUUCUUGUAUUGCCCACACGACAGCCAGCAACUCACGGUUUCCCACGUCGUGGUUUUGUUCAGUGGGUGAGAGUUUCCGGGAGAAGUAGGCGCAAGGAUGGAGCUUCCAGGUCUCAGAAUCCCUCUGUGAGAGGACGGCCCCCACUCCAGAGUCCAAAGCGUCGACCUCCACCACGAACUGAAGAGAGGGAUCCGGGUGUUUGAGCACCGGGGCGGAGAUGAAGAGGGACUUGAGCUGACAGAAGGUGGCGUCUGCUUCGGGGGUCCAGGAGAACGGGACCUUGAGGGAUGGGAGACAGGUAAGGGGCACAGCCACCUUGCUGUAGUUUCUGAUGAAGCGUCGGUAGAGGUUGGCGAAGCCAAGGAAUCGCUGGAGGUCUUUGCGGGAGGAGGGAGUGGGCCAGUCACGGACGGCGCAGACUUUCUCUGGGUCUGGGCGUAGCUCCCCCUGGGCGAUGAUGUAUCCAAGGAAACUGAUGGAGGAGGCGUGGAACUCGCACUUCCCGGGUUUGACGCAAAGGCGGUUUUCGAGGAGGCGCUGGAGGACAAGUCGAACCUGCUGCUGGUGUUCUUCCAGGUUGCAGAAGAAGAUCAGGAUAUUGUCCAGAUAGACGAAGGCGAAUUGGUUGAUCAUGUCACGGAAGACGUCAUUCAUGAGAGCCUGGAACACAGCGGGGGCAUUGGUGAGGCCAAAGGGCAUGCCGAGGUACUCGAAGUGGCCCAUGGGUGUAUUGAAGGCCGUCUUCCACUCGUCACCCUCCCUGAUGCAAACCAGGUGAUAGGCAUUCCGGAGGUCCAGUUUGGAAAAGAUGGUGGCCUUGCAGAGAGGUUCAAAGGAGGGAUCGAUGAGUGGCAGGGGAUAUUUGUUUUUUAUGGUGAUCUCAUUGAGUCCGCGGAAGUCGAUGCAGGGACGGAGAGAGGAAUCUUUUUUCUUCACAAAGAAGAAACCAUCAGCAAGGGGAGAGGAUGAGGGCCAGAUGAGUCCAGAUGUCAAGGAGUCCUGGAUGUAUUCCUCCAUGGCCUUUCGUUCGGGCCGAGAGAGAUUGUACAGUCUGCUACUGGGGAGAGGGGCACCAGGGAGCAAAUAUAUGGUGCAGUCAUAUGGGCGAUGAGGAGGAAGGACGAGGGACUGCUCCUUACUGAACACCAUGGCCAGAUCAUGGUAAACGGGGGGAACCAAGGUGAGAGAUGGCGGUGGAGAUGCUGACCUCUGUUGGUGGAUGUAGGGAUUGGCAGAGCGGAGGCAAUGGGAGUUACAGUGAGGACUCCAGGCAGAGAUCGAAAAUGUGGACCAGUUAAUUUGGGGGUUGUGGAUCUGCAGCCAAGGGAGUCCCAGCACCAGGAGUGAGUGUGGAGAGGGAAGCAGGAACAACCGGAUGUCCUCCCAAUGGUUUCCCGAGAGGAUGAGGGUGAGAGAAGCAGUGCAGUGGGUUAUGGUGGCUAUAACCCUGCCAUCGAGAGCGGUGACCUUACGGGGAACUGGGAGUACCUCCAGGGGGAGCUGAAGCCGCGCUGCCAGUCCGGUGUGAAUGAAGUUGUCAUCCGCCCUGGACCGUACUCACAGAGGGGGGAGAUCCAGUUUGCUGCGGUGGAACCCGAGAGAGGAGUUGGUCCGCCAGUUGCGCUACUUGGACUGAGAGACCUUGAAAAGAAUGAUUGAGGCCCUGGAGCAUAUUCUCAUGACCGAGACGAGUCCCGAGCUUCUGGACGACUUGCUGAAACCUAUCCGGGUCUGCUGGGUCCAUUAUCCUGGCCUGAGUAUUCUGUGGCGUGACUGGUAAGUUGUGAGGACCCAGAAGCAGACACAGAGACAGAGAUCAACUUAAGGUGUAAUUUUAAUGUCCAAACUCAGGUCUAAAGGCAAAAAAGAGGAAGUCCGGUGGGCUGGUUGGCUGGUUGUCGUGUGGGCUGGAGACACUGCAGGAAAAACGGAGGAGAGGGAAGUGAGUGAACAUACAAUGAAUCAGGAGCAGAAUUAUGAAUACUAAUUUCAAAGGAAGGAGGCCAGGAGACGCGUCUAUACCACUUGGAAGUGAAGACAAUAUUCAGGUGCUGAGACUGCGGGCUGCUGGCUUCUUAAAGGGCCUUGAUUGUAGAUGAAGAGCAGGUGUGUAGUCUCACUCAGCCUCAGCUACCGGGGGAGUGGAGGAAGCUCUGGAAGAGAGUAAAGCCAGACCAGGCAAACACGGAAAUACAGGAAGUCCAACCAAAAUAAAACAAAAGGAGGAGGCGUCUCACCACAGUGAGAUAGGGCAAAUUUUGGAAUUUUUGCAUUUAACUCUAUAAAAAUGGCCAGAGUCUUUAGUAAAAAAUUACACAAAAGGAUCUCAAUGAGUUUUAUGAGGUGUCAAAGGUUGAUCCUGAUCCAGACAAAAUUCCGGAUACUGUGAUCCAGAACACACACAAAAAGGGUGUUGUUGGAAUUUUCAAUGCUGAAAGAUAAGCAAUGGGCGGCACAGUGAUGUAGAUGGGCGGCCCAGUGGUGUAGUGGUUAGCACUGUCACCUCACGUUAGGAAGGUCCUGGGUACAAAUCCGGGUCAGGGCAUUUUUUGUUUUAGGAACAUUAUGAACAGUGAACAUACCAGUUUAAACACAAAUAAAAGUUAAUAAAAGACACGUAACACUAAAAGUUUUGGUGUGAAUCACAAUAUAAGGGAGGACAUGAGCUGCUUGGCGGAGGUCUGCGCUCUCCCAGUGCUUUUCUAGUUUCCGUUUUUGUUUCAGAAAGAGCAGUGUCUCUGUGUAGAAUCUAGGUUAAAAGUUAUUUUGGUUUUCCUAAUUUGUUAAUUUGAACAGCACUCUCGGGCCCUCUCCUGUGUGUGAGGGGGCUGGGCAGUAUCCCCCUCACUGAGGCCAUUUUGAUUUCACUGGUGAGGGAGGAUACUGGAGAGUAGAAAGGCCAGGGGAGAAUUGGGGCAGUGAGUGUAUGAGAAGGGGGAGGGACAGGUAGGGACUCUUCUGCUUGUCUGCUGCUGCUGCUGCAAUCAAGGGGGAUCAGCUGUUGAGCAGUACCUGACCACCUUCGAGCGCCUGGCAGUAGUGUAUCAUUGGCCAGAGGUUGACUGGGCAGUGAGGCUGAUUCCACACCCGACUGGGAAAGCUCAAGCACCAUAUGUGAUGAUGGCAGCUGAGGACAUGCUUGACUACAAAUAGGUGAAAGAUGCCGUCCUUGCCAAAUAUGAAACCUUUGAGGAGGUUUAGAGAGAGAUGGACAUCCACCCUCAUGAGAACCCAAGAGAGUUUUACAAUUGGCUUCAAGACUUGUACAACAAGUGGAUCCAGCCGUAGAAGAGGACCAAGGACCAGGUUGGAGAGAUCCUUAUUCUGGAGCAAUUCUACUGCUCUCUCUCCAGAACUAAGAGUGUGGUUGAAGGAAAAGGAUCCAGAGUCAGCACGGGAAACCACUCAGCUUGUGGAGACCUUCCAUCCGCCCAACGAGAGUCCAAGAGCUAGCGGUUCGAGGGUCCACAGGAAUCCAGCCUUGUAAGCCAAUGAGGUCAGGGAGUGGUGGUGGUCCUAGGGAACCAGAGCUAGCUAGGCAGCUAGAGAAGCCUGUAGUUCCCACUAAGUCAAAGGCAAGUGUCAAGCCUGUUUGCCUUCACUAUGAUCAGGAAGGUCACAUAAAGCCACAGUGUCCAUCUAGGAAAGUUAAAGCAGCUUAUUUUUGCACUGUCCCUCAUCCUUGUCAGACUGAGAGUUGUCGGGUAGGAAAGCAGCAGAUCCCUGCAGUUAAGAUCAAUGGCAAACCAGCCCAAGCUCUGCUUGAUACUGGUAGUACUCAGACGCUAAUGCAUCCAUCACUACUUCCAAAGGAGGGGCCCCUGGGUAAGCCAGUCCUCGAUAUUUCCUGUGGUCAUGGCCAUCAUAGACCUUAUUCUAUAACACUAGUGUAUCUGGAGGUUGCAGGGCAAACCUACCUGAUGUCAGUGGGGGUAGCUGACAGCUUAGCCCAUCAGGUUAUCUUGGGUCAGGAUCUUCCCAUCCUUCAGGAGUUGGUGCAGUCGUGUAAAUCAGUUAACACCACCACAAGGUCACAGGCACAGGCACAGAGAUCGGAGGAAGGAGGGAUGAAUGGGCACCAGGAAGAGACAGCUAAAAAUGUUCAGGGUCCAGAGGAGCCAGCUAAGCAGGUCCCAGUUUAGGUGGAACCAGAGAUUCAGGGUCCAGCCGAGGGAGACCUAAAUGUCCUCUCUGAGUUGUCUUACUUUGACGAGGAUCUAACAGUUGGUGUUAAAGUAAGGAAAAGUAGGAGGCAGAAAAGGCAGGAGAAGAUGGCUGGGACAGCAGGAAAAAGUUCAGGGCUAGAGGAGCCAGAGGCUUGUGAAGCUGACAAAAGUUGUAAUUUUCUGCUGCUUAAAAGGCAGGAUGAGUCACUGAAGGAUUUCUUCAGGCAGGCAAGGGUUGUGUCACAAGGUCAGGAGGAGGGGGAAGGCUAUUUUCCCAGAAACCAGGUCCUGUAUUACAAGGCAGAUCUAGAUCAGUCGUUCUCAAGUCUAGUCCUCGAGGCCCACUGUCCUGCAUAUUUUGGAUGUUUCCCUGCUCCAACACACCUGAUUCAAAUGAUCAGCUCAUUAUCAAGUUCUGUAAUGGCUUAAUAACGAGCUAAUCAUCUGAAUCAGGUAUGUUGGAGCAGGGAAACAUCAAAAACAUGCAGGACAGUGGGCCUUCUUGUUAAGAAGACUUUGGACAGGAUAGCCAGCAGGUUUGAUAGGCCAGGUUUGAGCACACAGGUACAGGAGUGUUGUCAGUCAUGCUCUAUCUGUCAGCUAACAGGAGAUAACAGGGUUCCCAAAUUUCCAUUACAACCACUGCCAGUCAUUGAUGUUCCCUUUAGCCAAAUAGCAAUGGACAUUGUUGGUCCGUUAAAGUGAACACAAU